GAUGAACGCUAGCGGCAGGCUUAAUACAUGCAAGUCGUGGGGCAGCAGGGGUGUAGCAAUACAUCUGCUGGCGACCGGCAAACGGGUGCGUAACACGUACGCAACCUUCCCGUUACUGUGGCAUAGCCCAGGGAAACUUGGAUUAAUACCACAUAUUAUAUAGAGAGGGCAUCCUUUUUAUAUCAAAGCUUCGGCGGUAACGGAUGGGCGUGCGGUUGAUUAGGUAGUUGGCGGGGUAACGGCCCACCAAGCCUACGAUCAAUAGCUGAUGUGAGAGCAUGAUCAGCCACACGGGCACUGAGACACGGGCCCGACUCCUACGGGAGGCAGCAGUAAGGAAUAUUGGGCAAUGGACGAAAGUCUGACCCAGCCGUGCCGCGUGAAGGAUUAAGGUCCUCUGGAUUGUAAACUUCUUUUCUCUGGGGCGAAAACCAGCUAUUCUUAGCUAUUUGACAGUACCAGAGGAAUAAGCACCGGCUAACUCCGUGCCAGCCGCCGCAGUAAUAC
rnacentral:rRNA from 1 species